GUACGUGUUGUGUGGAUGUGAGUGUGCAAACAUAUACAUGCAAAUAUUGGAUAUCUUAUAAUGAACAAACUGUAUGCAUGGGCUAGUGGAUGUAGAUGUGUGUCUGUGUGUUUGGGUAUGUGCUUGUGUGUUUGUAUGUGCUGUAUGUGUACAUAUAUGAAUGUGUCUGUAUGUAUAUGCAGCACGUAUAUCAUAUAUAGACACAAUGCAUAUCAGCACCUCUUACAGCAUGGCAUUUUUACAUGAUAUAUUUAUAUGCUAUUUAUAUGCUAUAUUUAUAUGAUAUAUGCAAACAACAAGGAGGUCUGGUCAUUCUUGGAAAAGAAAUGCCGUGUUUCUCGAGCAUUGUGAAACCAGACGUGUUCUCCCUCACCCUCCCACGGCCCCUGGCUGGGACGGGACAUAGCUGGGAUGCCGCGGUGCUUACCGGCUGUGUGGGGCCGCUGUGAGCAGCAGCAGCAGCUGCCUGGGAGAGGUAGCGAGCCGACAGCUCCUUCACGGAGAGCGAAGAGGACCUCCCUCGUCCUUGCUGGAGUAUGCGCCUAGUGUUGUCUGAUACGUCUAAAAAUGACUGCGUCCUCUCAUCUGAAACAGAGACCGGAGGGUGUGGGAGAAAAUGUGGGCAUUUGCACUGCCUCCAUGGCUGGAAUGGAUGGUGAGACCUGACAGCAACCCACCAGGCAGUGGCCUGAUGCCACCGUCCUGCUGGUGGGGCUGCCUUCCCAUGGUAUAUAUCCCGCACCCACCUCCGCAUCCCUAGACGAGGCUAUCACCAAAACAAAACAAGUGUGUGGAUGUGAAGGA